AUUAGUGGCGACGGGUGAGUAACACGUGGGCAAUCUGCCCUUCACUCUGGGACAAGCCCUGGAAACGGGGUCUAAUACCGGAUAACACUCUGUCCCGCAUGGGACGGGGUUAAAAGCUCCGGCGGUGAAGGAUGAGCCCGCGGCCUAUCAGCUUGUUGGUGGGGUAAUGGCCUACCAAGGCGACGACGGGUAGCCGGCCUGAGAGGGCGACCGGCCACACUGGGACUGAGACACGGCCCAGACUCCUACGGGAGGCAGCAGUGGGGAAUAUUGCACAAUGGGCGAAAGCCUGAUGCAGCGACGCCGCGUGAGGGAUGACGGCCUUCGGGUUGUAAACCUCUUUCAGCAGGGAAGAAGCGAAAGUGACGGUACCUGCAGAAGAAGCGCCGGCUAACUACGUGCCAGCAGCCGCGGUAAUACGUAGGGCGCAAGCGUUGUCCGGAAUUAUUGGGCGUAAAGAGCUCGUAGGCGGCUUGUCACGUCGGAUGUGAAAGCCCGGGGCUUAACCCCGGGUCUGCAUUCGAUACGGGCUAGCUAGAGUGUGGUAGGGGAGAUCGGAAUUCCUGGUGUAGCGGUGAAAUGCGCAGAUAUCAGGAGGAACACCGGUGGCGAAGGCGGAUCUCUGGGCCAUUACUGACGCUGAGGAGCGAAAGCGUGGGGAGCGAACAGGAUUAGAUACCCUGGUAGUCCACGCCGUAACGUUGGGAACUAGGUGUUGGCGACAUUCCACGUCGUCGGUGCCGCAGCUAACGCAUUAGUUCCCCGCCCUGGGGAGUACGGCCGCACGCUAAACUCAAGGAAUUGACGG
rnacentral:rRNA from 1 species